rnacentral:rRNA from 1 species
AUUGAACGCUGGCGGCAGGCCUAACACAUGCAAGUCGAACGAGUGGCGGACUGGUGAGUAAUGUCUGGGAAACUGCCUGAUGGAGGGGGAUAACUACUGGAAACGGUAGCUAAUACCGCAUACCAUCAGAUGUGCCCAGCGGGGAUUAGCUAGUAGGUGGGGUAACUGCUCACCUAGGCGACGAUCCCUAGCUGGUCUGAGAGGAUGACCCGCCACACUGGAACUGGUACACGGUCCAGACUCCUACGGGAGGCAGCAGUGGGGAAUAUUGCACAAUGGGCGCAAGCCUGAUGCAGCCAUGCCGCGUGUGUGAAGAAGGCCUUCGGGUUGUAAAGCACUUUCAGCGGGGAGGCGUUACCCGCAGAAGAAGCACCGGCUAACUCCGUGCCAGCCGCCGCGGUAAUAC